GUGCUCAUUUUGACAGCACAUGUACUAAAAUUGGGAUGAUACAAAGGUUAGCGUGGGCCCUGUGCAAGGAUGACACGCAAAUGCAUAUGGGGUCCCAUAUUUUC